GUUAGUUAUCACGGGAGACACACGGCGGGUGCUAACGUCCGUCGUGAAGAGGGAAACAACCCAGACCGCCAGCUAAGGUCCCAAAGUCAUGGUUAAGUGGGAAACGAUGUGGGAAGGCCCAGACAGCCAGGAUGUUGGCUUAGAAGCAGCCAUCAUUUAAAGAAAGCGUAAUAGCUCACUGGUCGAGUCGGCCUGCGCGGAAGAUGUAACGGGGCUAAACCAUGCACCGAAGCUGCGGCAGCGAACGUAUCACUUAAAGCGAUUCAGCGGGUUACGAUUGACGGAGCGAAGCGACGUCAAAGCGUAUACAAAGUCGAGUCGGUUUAAGGAUACGUUCGUUGGGUAGGGGAGCGUUCUGUAAGCCUGUGAAGGUGGCCUGUGAGGGUUGCUGGAGGUAUCAGAAGUGCGAAUGCUGACAUAAGUAACGAUAAAGCGGGUGAAAAGCCCGCUCGCCGGAAGACCAAGGGUUCCUGUCCAACGUUAAUCGGGGCAGGGUGAGUCGACCCCUAAGGCGAGGCCGAAAGGCGUAGUCGAUGGGAAACGGGUUAAUAUUCCCGUACUUGGUGUUACUG
rnacentral:rRNA from 1 species